rnacentral:rRNA from 1 species
UACAGAGACCUCAAGCGUUAUCCGGAAUCAUUGGGCGUAAAGCGUGCCGAUAGGUGGUUGAAAUAGUCUUGGGUAAAAGCCAGAAGCUCAACUUCUGAGUUUGCUUAAGAUACUUUUCAACUAGAGGGGCAAAGAGGUGCUUGGAACGAAUGGUGUAGUAGUGAAAUGCGUUGAUAUCAUUCGGAACACCGAAAGCGAAGGCAGAGCACUGGGUGCCACCUGACACUGCUAGGACGAAAGCGUGGGGAGCGAAUGGG